UUUUUUUCCUUAAGAAGUGUCAGUGUAAAAGUCUCCACUUGGGUGGUCAGAGCAGCGGCUGCCCCCAGUUUGCCUCAUAGCUGAUGCCUGCGCGCUACAUUCCUAGCGAUAAUGUUGUUCCUAAUCAAUCUGCCCUUAUUUACAUUUGUAAGCCCUGCUGGCUGCGAUAUGUAUGCCCUGUGUGUGCAACUGCUCCUCCACACCAAGGGCUUUUUCUGUCCUCAGCAACUCGCGGGGAUCCCACAGAUUUCUUAUCUCGGUCUUGCACUGGGCUGAAGGCCUGUGAAGCAACCUUUUAUACCUGGUCCUCCCAAUUCCUGGACAGCCAGGGCUGGCGUACAAGAAUCUCAGCUUUGGCUUUGGCCAUAGUGGGUUCAUUUUGUAGCGUUCUGCCUCUUACUUAGAUCCCCUUUGUGCUCAUAACCCCAAAUACUGCAAAGCUUCACGCUUCCUUCAGCCAGGUGAGGAGUCAAAUCCAAUAGAGGUCAACAGUGAGUAGCAGGUAUAUACACUGAUUUCACUUUUUUUCAGGUUGCCUGUGGACACACCACCGAGAGCACUACACUGCUGGAGCAUCUGAUUACCUUAAUGAAGAAACGGCACAGAGAUUAAGUGCUUUGGCUUCAUUUUGUAGGUGCUACAGGGCAGCUGACCAUGGCAGAAGAAGGACUUGCGGGAAAAUACUCUGAUUUUGUCUACUCUCUCAAUUUUUUGUCUUUCAUACACGUUUUCAUCGCACAAGGGCACAGGUCUGGCUCAGCCCUGUGCUCCUUACGCACUCCUGGCGCUGGCUUUGACAUCGGAUAAGGUCACGGGGCAACACCUUCACUGGCUUCUGCAGGGCAGCUUCAGCCUCUGCGUUUCCACUCCCAGUGCCCCGCUUGCCACCGGGCACUGGAGGCCGCAGUCCGGGCGGGGCGCGACCGGCACCGGGGAGCCGCUCCGCAGGGCAGCGCCGCACCCGGGGAAGGAGGCGGCGGCACGAAGCGAGCCCUCUCCCCCGCCGCAGCCCUGCGAGAAAGGGAACUGCUCGAGCCAACUUGUCAAAAUAAUGCGGCUAAUUACCCCUGAUCUCCUUUAAUGGGAAGCUGCUCUGCACGCCACAAAGGAGCAAAUGAGGGAUCUACAACACCAACUCAGCAGCGCUGGCAUUUUCUUCCGCGGAGGGCUGCGAGGAAAAUGUGCCUCCAGAGGAGCCUCCGAGGUCCCUGCGUUCCUCCCGCGCAGCGGCGGACUCCCAGGGGAAGAGCAGAGCGCCGGGGAGCUGCGCAGGGCAGCGGCAGGAGCGGCAGCCCUCUCCCUCCAAAAGCUGGAGGACACCCCAGCCCCAGCAGACCUUGUCAUAUUCCACGAGGAAUUAGCUCUGUAAACCCAAGUCGUCUUCAAGACAGAUUCUUUUCCUGGCAAAAUGCCCUGCCACUUUCAGGACAUUAAUGUGGAUAGAGAGGCGAAAGUUACACUGAACCGUUUUCAGCUAGCCCGGACAACACCGGGUCUGUGUAAAGGUAUAGCUCAAGUCUUGCAUUUGGCAGAAUGCAGGGCAUUCAUUUUCAUGAUCUCUGCCAUCGGGUCUUGCAGAAAAAGAAAAAAAAAAAGCUGAGCGACACAAUCUCUUUGACCCACUGCUGGAGCAACAAAUUUAUUAGAGAUAUAGGCGUGAGAAAUGAAAAGGAAGUAAAACAA
rnacentral:lncRNA from 1 species